rnacentral:tRNA from 1 species
AACCACGUAGCUCAGUUGGCAGAGCAUUGGGCUAGUAUUCCAAAGGUCGUAGGUUCGAUUCCCACCGUGGCUG